rnacentral:ncRNA from 1 species
GUGUUUACGGUUAUUUAGAUGGAUAAAAAGUUUGAUUAUUGUUUAAAUAAUUGAAUUAAAUUUUAUAUUUACAUGUAAAUUUUUGUGUAAAUUUAGAUAUUUUUUAGAUAAAAAUAUUGGAAUUUUUGUUCGCAGUAAAUUAUUUUAUAAAUUAAUGAAAAUUAGAUUUAGUAAAAGUUUAUAGUAUUGACUAAAUUUGUGCCAGCAGUUGCGGUUAUACAGAUAAUAUGUUUCAAUUUUUUUUAGUAUUAAUAUAUUUAAAAUUAUAAAAUUUUAAGAAAAAAUUUAUUAGGUGAAAUUUUAAGGUUUUUAAAAAAUUUAUUUAUAGUGAUUAUUUAAUAAAUUUAGUAAUAAACUAGGAUUAGAUACCCUAUUAUUAUAAAUGUAAAAUUAAGCUAGAUUAGUAGUAGUUAUGUUCUUGAAAAUUAAAGAUUUUGGCGGUUUUUUAGUCUAUUCAGAGGAACCUGUUCUAUAAUCGAUAGUCCACGAUUUACUUGACCUUUAUUAUAAAUUUAUAUAUCGUCGUAGUUUGAAUAUUUUAAAAGAAUUUAAAUAUUCAAAAUUUAUUUUUUAAAUGAUAUCAGAUCAAGGUAUAGUUCAUAUAAAGGUAGAAAUGGGUUACAUUAAUUGUAAUUAAGGAUAAUUUAUUGAAAAUAAAUUUGAAUAAGGAUUUGAAAGUAAUUUUUUAAAAAUUAAAGAAUGAUUUUAGCUCUAAAAUAUGUACAUAUCGCCCGUCGCUUUCACUCUAAGGUGAAAUAAGUCGUAACAAAGUAGGCUUACUGGAAGGUGAGCCUAGAAAGA